rnacentral:rRNA from 1 species
CUAAUCUGCCCUGGGUAAGUCGGGACCUAAGGCGAGGCCGACAGGCGUAGUCGAUGGACAACGGGUUGAUAUUCCCGUACCGGCGAAGUUGCGCCCAUGACGAACCUGGUGAUGCUAACCACCCGAAGCUCAUCGGACCGGACCCUUCGGGGCGAGGCUGGUGAGGGGAGCGUGGGACCCGAACUGGUAGUAGUCAAGCGAUGGGGUGACACAGGAAGGUAGCCCAGCCACAGCGAUGGUUGUCUGUGGGCAAGCGUGUAGGACGUGGUGUAGGCAAAUCCGCACCAUCCACUUCAGUGUGGAGUCUGAGACGUGAUGCGGAGCCGUAUGGCGAAGUGGGUGAUCCUAUGCUGUCGAGAAAAACCUCUAGCGAGCAACGAGCCGCCCGUACCCCAAACCGACUCAGGUGAUCAGGUAGAGAAUACUAAGGCGAUCGAGAAAACCAUGGUUAAGGAACUCGGCAAAAUGCCCCCGUAACUUCGGGAGAAGGGGGGCCCGGAUCGUGUACCCACUUGCUGGGGAAGCGUGAAGGGCCGCAGAGACCAGGGGAAAGCGACUGUUUACUAAAAACACAGGAGCGUGCGAAGUCGCAAGACGCAGUAUACGCUCUGACGCCUGCCCGGUGCUGGAAGGUCAAGGGGAUAGGUUAGCUCUUCGGAGCGAAGCUUUGAACUCAAGCCCCAGUAAACGGCGGCGGUAACUAUAACCGUUGAACAGAAAACUGAACGGCGGUUGCAAAACCUGGCUAUAUGCUGGAACAUCCGAGUAUCCGACGGUACUCGUUCGGUCCAAAGGUAGAAAUACCGAAGGACAUGAACAGUGAAAAUCCGAUCGGUGCGGACAAUCAGCAGGAAACCGAAGCCACAGAACGACCAAUCGAUCCAUAUCGGAUCGUCAGAGGAUCGCCUCGAGCGAACCGUCUGACGUACCGGAUGCUGGCAACUCAAGCCGGCGGAUGGGCAGACCGAAACGAAUCGAGGGUUGGCGUGGAAGACCAUGCAUCCAGGCAUACGUACCGAUCGCAAGAUCGAUGCCAACACGGAAGCACUGGUCCCUGGACAGAACCGAAAGGUGACGUCCUGUAGGGAUCCUCAGAGACUGUACGCUAGGCGCCGCAAUGAGUAGCGGUGAUGAUACAGUCCGAUCCUCAUGGCGACAUGGGGAGCCCGGCAGAAAUGACCGGGCCCGUUACUUCACGUAAUGAAUUCCACGUGGAGUGCGAAGUAACAAGAAUGCCUAAGGUAGCGAAAUUCCUUGUCGGGUAAGUUCCGACCUGCACGAAUGGCGCAACGACUUGGGCACUGUCUCAACCAGAGACUCGGCGAAAUUGCAGUGUGAGUAAAGAUGCUCACUUCCUGCGACAGGACGGAAAGACCCCGGGACCUUUACUGCAACUUGACAUUGGAGUUCGUUAUCAGAUGUGUAGGAUAGGUGGGAGACCGUGAAGCGGUGGCGCUAGCCAUCGUGGAGUCAACCUUGAAAUACCACCCUUCUCAUAAUGGUCUUCUAACCUCGAUCCAUUAUCUGGAUCAGGGACAGUGUCUGGUGGGCAGUUUCACUGGGGUGGUGGCCUCCUAAAAUGUAACGGAGGCGCCCAAAGGUUCCCUCAGCCAGGUCGGCAAUCUGGCGUUGAGUGCAAAAGCACAAGGGAGCUUGACUGCGAGACAAACAAGUCGAGCAGGUACGAAAGUAGGGUUUAGUGAUCCCUCGGCGGCAUGUGGGUGCGCCGAGGCCAACGGCUAAAAGGUACCCCGGGGAUAACAGGCUCAUACCGCCCAAGAGUCCAUAUCGACGGCGGUGUUUGGCACCUCGAUGUCGGCUCGUCUCAUCCUGGGGCUGAAGCAGGUCCCAAGGGGCGGGCUGUUCGCCCGUUAAAGAGGCACGCGAGCUGGGUUUAGAACGUCGUGAGACAGUUCGGUCCCUAUCCGUUGUGGGCGCAGGAGAUUUGAGGAGAGUUGUCCCUAGUACGAGAGGACCGGGAUGAACGUACCUCUGGUGUGCCAGUUGUCCUGCCAAGGGCACGGCUGGUUUGCUACGUACGGAACGGAUAAGCGCUGAA